rnacentral:rRNA from 1 species
GACGAACGCUGGCGGCGUGCCUAAUACAUGCGAGUAGAACGCUGAAGGAGGAGCUUGCUCUUCUGGAUGAGUUGCGAACGGGUGAGUAACGCGUAGGUAACCUGCCUGGUAGCGGGGGAUAACUAUUGGAAACGAUAGCUAAUACCGCAUAACAUUGACUAUUGCAUGAUAGUUAAUUGAAAGGUGCAAAUGCACCACUACCAGAUGGACCUGCGUUGUAUUAGCUAGUUGGUGGGGUAACGGCUCACCAAGGCGACGAUACAUAGCCGACCUGAGAGGGUGAUCGGCCACACUGGGACUGAGACACGGCCCAGACUCCUACGGGAGGCAGCAGUAGGGAAUCUUCGGCAAUGGACGGAAGUCUGACCGAUCAACGCCGCGUGAGUGAAGAAGGUUUUCGGAUCGUAAAGCUCUGUUGUAAGAGAAGAACGAGUGUGAGAGUGGAAAGUUCACACUGUGACG